rnacentral:rRNA from 1 species
UACGGAGGAGGCAAGCGUUAUUCGGAUUCACUGGGCGUAAAGGGUGCGCAGGCGGCCGAGUGUGUGAGGCGUGAAAGCCCGGGGCUUAACCCCGGAAUUGCACCUCAAACUACACGGCUAGAGCAUUGGAGAGGGUAGCAGAAUUCAUGGUGUAGCAGUGAAAUGCGUAGAUAUCAUGAGGAAUACCAGAGGCGAAGGCGGCUACCUGGACAAUUGCUGACGCUCAGGCACGAAAGCGUGGGGAGCAAAAGGG